rnacentral:rRNA from 1 species
CAGGCCUAACACAUGCAAGUCGAGCGGGCGUAGCAAUACGUCAGCGGCAGACGGGUGAGUAACGCGUGGGAACGUACCUUUUGGUUCGGAACAACCCAGGGAAACUUGGGCUAAUACCGGAUAAGCCCUUACGGGGAAAGAUUUAUCGCCGAAAGAUCGGCCCGCGUCUGAUUAGCUAGUUGGUGAGGUAACGGCUCACCAAGGCGACGAUCAGUAGCUGGUCUGAGAGGAUGAUCAGCCACAUUGGGACUGAGACACGGCCCAAACUCCUACGGGAGGCAGCAGUGGGGAAUAUUGGACAAUGGGCGCAAGCCUGAUCCAGCCAUGCCGCGUGAGUGAUGAAGGCCCUAGGGUUGUAAAGCUCUUUUGUGCGGGAAGAUAAUGACGGUACCGCAAGAAUAAGCCCCGGCUAACUUCGUGCCAGCAGCCGCGGUAAUAC